GCAGAGUUUCGACCACCCGUGUCUCAUAAAAACGGAGGAAUUGUAUCAGACGGAGGACAGUUAUUACAUCGUGUUGGAGCUGAUGGAGAAGAGUUAUGUCUCAGCUGCC